rnacentral:tRNA from 1 species
GGUAAAAUGGCUGAGCUAUAAGUGAUAAAUUGUAAAUUUAUUUAGGGGAUUAUUCUCUUUUACCA